UACGUAGGGUGCGAGCGUUAAUCGGAAUUACUGGGCGUAAAGCGUGCGCAGGCGGUUCGUUGUGUCGGUGGUGAAAUCCCCGGGCUUAACCUGGGAAUGGCCAUGGAAACUGGCGAACUGGAGUGCGGCAGAGGGGGGUGGAAUUCCGCGUGUAGCAGUGAAAUGCGUAGAGAUGCGGAGGAACACCGAUGGCGAAGGCAGCCCCCUGGGCUAGCACUGACGCUCAGGCACGAAAGCGUGGGGAGCAAACAGGA
rnacentral:rRNA from 1 species